AAGUUGGCAAGCACGGCAGCGAAAGCUCAACUUGCUGGGGUUAUUUAUAUCCUCAGCAAACAAAGAGAAAAUGCAGCCAAUACUGAUUGCAGAAGUGAGCAGUAUUAAUGGCUGGACAUAAUUUUGCUAUUUCCUGUUCUGUCAUUGAAUUUAUACCUUGUUCAGCCAUAGGAACUCACUGUAAUUUCACUCACCCUCUCUUUUGACCACCUUUUCAGAAUGAACUCCCAGCAAACAAUAACAAGACUUUGGAUUCCUAUGGAGCAUGAAGACCAGCAAGUUCCCACUCAGACACGUUUUUCGUUUAUUUGACUCCCUGAAGCAAUUGAAUCUGACUGAUUUGUAACAGGUCUUCUAGGGGAGAGAAUUCCAGAGACUCAUUGUACUUGGCAAGAAGGCCACUGUCAGAAGAUCUGUCUUUUGGAAGAGAUGAUGAGCGGAAGUCCUGGAGAAUUAACCCCCAUGGCAUUUAUAAUGAAGAAAUGCUGGGGAGUUCUCUCUGUAUCACUCAAUCAAUAUCAACAAAAUCAAAAUUUCUAGCCGAUGUCUCAUAGCAUGUUAACGGUGAAACAUUAAAAUUAGGAACAAAAGUAGGCCAUUUACCCCUUCAAC